rnacentral:rRNA from 1 species
AGAAUCAACGCUGGCGGCGUGCCUAACACAUGCAAGUCGAACGAGAAAGUGGAGCAAUCCAUGAGUAAAGUGGCGACCGGGUGAGUAACACGUGACUAACCUACCUUCGAGUGGGGGAUAACCUCGGGAAACCGAGGCUAAUACCGCAUAACAUCGCAAGAUCAAAGCAGCAAUGCGCUGGAAGAGGGGGUCGCGGCUGAUUAGCUAGUUGGCGGGUAACGGCCCACCAAGGCGAAGAUCGGUA